rnacentral:snoRNA from 1 species
GGUUUCCCAUGAGUCCAGCACCAAGCUCCCAUCACCCCUCAGAACAGUGACUUCACAACCUUUGACACCUUGGAAUCAGAUGGGCCC